rnacentral:lncRNA from 1 species
GGCGCGGGGACUGGGUGAGUGCAGGGUCAGCUCGCCCCUCCCGCCUCCCGCCCCUCCGAGCCUGUCCCCAGGCUGAGGCGCGGGACCUGGGCCGAGGCUGGCUCCGGGAGCUCCCCUGUGCCCGGGCCCCUUUUACAGCUCGCACCUCUCGACUCCCGGCCACUUUCAGCAGCUUAGGGAGGGAGCUAGCAGCCGGCGUGGGGGUGGGGAGCGAGGGAGUGCGUCCUAACAGAGUCUCCAGAGGCCACCUCGCUGCCUUGCGGGGGCGAGGCAGCCCCCAACCCAGCAGGACCAAACCCAGAGAUUAGCCACUUAACGCCGCCCCCGGGUCCGUGUGCGAAUCCCUUACUAAAAAUGGCGGGCUGGCUCCGGGGGCUGAAGGGUGGCAGCCCGGGGGCACUGGAAGGGUAGGGAGCCGCCACAAAUCGGUGAAGCAGGCCCGCGCCCCAGGCGGCUGGGAAUGGGGGAGGAGCAGGGCGCCGGGGGACGGAGGCCCUAGGAACUUUUGGAGAGCUCUUCGAGAAGUUUCUGUAUUGGCGUUUUUGUCUGUGGAGAACCUUCCUUGCGCGACCCCUACCCCUUCUCCCGGUCCCGGCGCUAACCUCUUUUCUCUCUGCAAGGAUCCUCCCACCGCCUCCGGUGGGGAUGGAAAGCAAGAGUUUUGGUUUAAUGAUGGGAUAUUUCCUAAAUCAAACUUGAAAUCUCAGGAUCGGGCGCCCACCUUCACGGAUUAGGGCGUGCAGUCGAUAGCGGCAUUGAAAUUCCCAGCAUUGCCGCGGCUGGGGGCUCAGAGCUUUAGGCCGCGGCGGCGACCCACAAGCCGGCCAGGCCUGCAGUGGGCACGCCCCGGAGACAAAACGGGGGUGGUGACUCUGCCGUGGAGUGGCCAGCCCCAGCUCGGAGGCGGAAACCGUCACCUUGCAUGGAUGGAUCCAGGAAUCGAAUUCGAAUUCCACCAGAGUGGCGGGAUCAGAGGAGAUCAGAGGGUCUUGGCCCCGGCUGUCUCUGAUCACAGCUCUGGGGAGCCCAGCUCUGGAAUGAAAAAUUCUUCCACCUCCACGGCAGACACCCAGUUUUGAUCCCACCCCCACCGCCCACCUCCCACUUCCCACCUCCCACCUCUUUCCGUGGGUCUUGGCACAAGCCCACGGCCCUAGUAGGUGUGAACGCCAAAAACCUUGCGCGGGCGGGAUGGGGGCGGGGAGGAAACAAGGGAAAGUUUGGGGAGGACCAGGUUUUGGGGGCAAUGAGGGAAAGCGGGGUAUUCCCAGACUGCAUCUGAGUAGUUUCCCUAUCACCUUCUCUUCCGCCUCUGCCUGGUGCUGGGGAGCCUGGUGCCUUCUCAGGAGCCUCGCCGGAGGAGGCGUCAUCAGGGGCCGCCCUGGCUUUGAAAUAUCUCUUCGACGCCUGAUUUCGUUUCCCGUUAAACCUCACAGAGAGUGGCAUAGGGAAUGUUGGGCUCACUUUCACGCGAAGAAACUUGGGGUUACAAAAUUGAGAGUAACGUUAUUUUCCGGGAUGUUUCCUAGGUGUCAGACCUCGAGCCUCGACGGCCCUGAAGUCAUAGUGUUUGUACAAAGUGGUGGCACCAGACCAGGAGGAGCUGAGAGCGAGAUUCCGAGGUGGGGGGAAUGGGGCUGCGCUGUAAGUGACCGAGUGAGACUCCCGAUAUUUAAUUUAGCUUUUUUCAGAAGGAAAAGAAAAAACAAUAAUGAGCCUCGGAGAUGCUCCUUCUGCAUUAACCAGCUAUCGACCUGUCUGCGUCGGACUGCGGGCGGCGAGAAAGAGGACAGGGAAGGGCCAGGCGGCUCUUAGGGACUCAGUCACGCCGGCGGGUGGGGGGGGGGGGCGCCCACAGCCCAGGGGAUGAACCUCCAGACCGAGACGUGCACCCAAGAACCUCGCAUAUUAGAUCCCUCCAGGCUCCCCAGGCCUCGAGCAGAAGCGGCCUCCUGGCUACCCUACUUUCCAAUUGAGAACAGCCCUGGUCUGUCCGGGCCAUCUGCGCGCCACGUCGAGACUCAGCGUCCCAGGCAGCCGCGUCCCAACGUGGCGCUGGUCCCCCAACUCGACAGGUCCAGUGGAGCCCGGCUGUGGGCUGAACUCGAGGGUCCGAGGGCAGCUGAACCUUUUCCAGGGAUUUUUAAUCCAACAGAUUAAAUGGGUCAGAGUGACACACUCGCACAGGGAAGAAAAGCAGGUGCACAGAAGUAGAUUUGGGAAAGUCGCGCGCACGAACGCGCUUCACGCAGAAGCUUCUCCAUCAUCUUGCCUUCUUUCAACAUUCCCAGCGCACAAAGCGCUUUGGAGACUGACUGCAGGCCCUCUCAAUGCAGCCCAGGGAGCGGGGAGUGUUCGGAGAGGGUGUCUGUCCAUCGCACACGCUUGGCGCGCGUGCGCCGGAUGCGCACCGGGAACGGCUGCCCGACGUGUGCCCAGGGCCCGCGGCCCGCCAGGUUCUGGGGGCUGCGCCUCGCACUUCACAAGAGGGGAGUCACCAGGCCCGCUUCCUGCCCCCUCCUCGCCCAGCCUCACGGUGCUCACACGUCCCCGUCGAGGGGAGCCGCGGCAGCCCUCGGACUCCCAGCCCCGGCUCAUCUUCUAUCCUUCCCUCCCAGGCCCUAAGUCCCCGGGCUGCGGUGCGGGCCGGCGAUCUCUGAGCUUCCUGCAGGCGCUGCGGCGCGCGCUCCCACCGUUCCCUCCCCCUCGCGCUCGGGUUACAGGUUAAUGAAAUGCUCGUUUUCCUCAGUCAUUUGUUUUGUUUUCCUGCAAAGUUCUGAUAAGUAGCUAACCAACGAAGCUUGUAAUUACAAUCUUACAGAAACCGGGCCGAUCUGUAUAUAAAUCUCACCAUCCAAUUACAAGAUGUAAUAAUUUUGCACUCAAGCUGGUAAUGAGGUCUAAUACUCGUGCAUGCGAUAAUCCCCUCUGGAUGCUGGCUUGAUCAGAUGUUGGCUUUGUAAUUAGACGGGCAGAAAAUCAUUAUUUCAUGUUCAAAUAGAAAAUGAGGUUGGUGGGAAGUUAAUUUCUCUCCGCUCUGUGAAGCGUAGACAAGAAUUUAAUGAUUUAAUUACAGUUGUAAGCCCUUUCCAUGAGACUUAAAUUGAGCUGAGAAUAUUUUUUUUCCUUCUCUCUCCCUCUCUCCCACUUUCGCGUUCUCUUUCUCCGCUAUUAGCAGCCGCGGACUCCUGAGAGCGUGGCCUGGCGUCCGCACAGGGUGGAAUUCGUAUUUGGCCAGGAAUCCGGACUCCGAUCAUCCCAGGAGACGCGGACCGGGGGCCUCCAGAGCUCUCCGGAGCGUGCUGCCGCUCCCCACCAGCCACCAGGGACUCGGAGGCCCUUCCUGGGUCCGGAGAAGCGACGGGGACACUUAGGGGAAAACUUUGCCAACUUCGCUCUUGGCGCGGAAGAGGCCGCUGGCCGGAAUGGUGCAGCAGCGGCGGCGGGCCGCGACGCGCAGGGUGGGCCCCGGGCCAGUGCUGGGCACCCUGGAGCGCGUCGGGAUGCCCAAAGUGGGGCGUGAGGCCGGUGGGCUCUUUGCUCCUCCGCUUCGCCCCUGCGCCUCCCGCGACCCGUCUCACUUCCCUGCGUCUCUGAGCGGCCCGAGAGGCGCAGCGCUCAGAGUGGCCUUGAUGGAAGAACCUGGCCCUCGGCGGGAACGAUUUUCUUUUGCUUUACCUCUUCUGGAUCAGCCGUUUUCCACCUGACUUGAGCAGCCCCCUCCCCCAUGCCUUUUUUUUCUCGUUCCCUCCGUCUGUCCUCACAAUUUCCUCUAUCUUCGAUUUCUAGAUCAUUCGCUUUUCUUCUCUUUCCUCCGCUUCCUCAUUGUGCUGUUUUUAUGCCUUUGCCCUGGACCACUUUUCAGUUCACUUUUCUCCCUUCUGCUCCCUCCCUCACCCCCUUCUUAAUGUCUCUUUUUUCCUCGCCCUGAGUCUGUGACUGUGUCCCUUUCCCCCAUCUGCAGUUGCCGUUUUUGAUUUUCUUUCUUUCCUCCCCACUUCCAUCCGGAUCCUCUCCUAUUUCCUCCUUGGAUUUCUGUCUCUCAGGUUCUGUCUCUCAGGUUCUCCUCUCCGUAAAUAUUCUCUCCUCUCCCUCUCCGGGAUCCGUCCCCUCCCCCACGUGGAUCUGCCUCCCCGGCGCCCCCUCCUCAUUCAUCCUGGGAGAUGAAUUUGUCGCCUUAUUGGACGCCGAGGCCAGAGCCGUGUGAGGGGGCUCGGCCAGCGCUGUGCAUUUUCUUCAUGCAUAUUGAGGAGAUGGUAAUGAGCGCGUUUGCAUUGUUGCUUGGAAAUGUUGUGUUUCCUGCCGCAGUUCGCAGUUCGGAGUGGGCGAGGGUGGUGUGGGCCCAGGACAGCCCCUCAGUAGGCACCCGGCCUGGCGGCCGCCGCUGACCCUCUCCGGAUUCCCGGGCUCUGGGGGCCGGGGGAGGAAGCGACCUUGCCGAGCUCCUGACCCGGCCGCCGCCUCCUCCUCCGGUUUGUCCACAAAGGCCGUCGCGCUCCCCUCAUUAAAGCCUCGUUACAGGAACCCCCGGCUGGCUCGCGACGGCUCCUCCGAGCCCCCCUGCCCACCGGCCUCUGAGCCCCUCCCCUGAUUUGAGAGGCCUGUGAUGGAGCGCCACCAGAAAAUUAGUGCCUGACAACGUCGUCUAUUGGCAAUAAAUUGAGAUUCCAAGUGACACGUCGCGGGAUCAAACACAGCCACAUUGUUGUGUACCCUGCUCCGCUCGCUCCUCGUUAAUCUUGGAGGGCGCCUUGGCAUCGCUUGGCCAGGGGAGGUUGUAGGCAGGCCUUUCGGCUGUCAGGACUCGGAUCCUGCCUCUGCCCUGGCUGAGCCCACUUCAGUCAUUCAGGAGGGACUGACUGCCCCUCCCUGAUAAGGUCCAAGGCGCUCAGGAGGCGUGACCCAGGAACGCCUUUCAAUAAGCUGAAGGUUUAUUAAAGUCAGGAGCUUCGAGGGGCAAACUCUGAGUUAAGCUUGUGGGGAAUCGACGUGAGCCUUGCUGGGAAUUCAGAACAUCAAGGUCUGGCCUUGUCUGGAAUUGUCUGGUGUCGAGUUUCCCAAACUUCAAGCUUCCCGCUACUACCUUUAUUAUUUACUUAACAUUUUUCCUUAAAUUGACUCAUUUUUAAAAUCAAAGUACAUAUUUUUGGAAAGAAAAUCUGAUACUACCACUGUAAAUUGAAAAGUAGCUGUUACUCACCAGAAAAGGAAGUGGUAAAAGAUAAACACAGCUAAAACCAAGCAAUGUUAAUACAUGUUAGCCGUUUUGCUGGCUUGGAAAGACUCCUAGAGGCUCAGGUGUGUGUGUGUCAUUAGCAAGUGUUGGAAGUGUUAAAUACUGAAUCUUUCUCGGAAGAAAUGAGACAAUUGAAAAGAGAAUGUUUCUCACUAUUCAAUGUUCAUUUAAUUCAGUGUUAAUUUAAUUCUCUGAUCCAAGACUGCACACUACCUAAAAUAAUGUUGACAACCUCAAGAGCUAGGACUGUUGAGGAGCGUAUAAAAAAAUUAAGAUUAGGCUGGGCGCGCGGUGUCUCACACCUGUAAUCCCAGCACUUUGGGAGGCCGAGGUGGGCGGAUCACCUGAGGUCAGGAGUUCGAGACCAGCCUGGCCAACAUAGUGAAACCCCAUCUCUACUAAAAAUACAAAAAUUAGCUGGGCAUGGUAGCAGGUGCCUGUAAUCCCAGCUUCUCAGGAGGCUGAGGCAGGAGAAUUGCUUGAGCCCAGGAAGUGGAGGUUGCAGUGAGCUGAGAUCGCGCCAUUGCACUCCAGCCUGGGGGACAAGAGCGAGACUUUGUCUCAAAAAAACAAAGAAAAAAGAAAAAAAAGAUUAAAAACAUAAUGUUGAUUUAUUAUUAUUUACCAAAUAAUUGUGUUAAGCAUUUUCAAACUGUAUCAUAUUUAAUUCUCACUAUAAGUCUACAAGCUAGAGGCUAUCCAGGGUGGCCAUGUGUGGUAGUACAGGAUGUUCAUUGAACAAGGGCACCGACGGGCUAAAAGGGUGUGAAGUCUAGCCCUGCUGUGUUCACCAAUAUGUGUACCUUGGCUUGGGGCCACACUGGAGGAACAGUACCUUUCUCUCAUGUACACAAAUUUUAUACAAAAUUGGCACAAAAUUGGGUUAUGACCUAACCCUAAUCUUAGAGAUGGGGAAACUGAGGCUUAGAGAGUUUUGCAAAGCCCAGGCUGAAAUCCUGUCUGAUAUUUUUAACUAUGAUCCCUUUGGGAGGGAGAGCAGUCCUUUUGGGGGCUUGGGAGGAGAUGAUGAGAGUUUGGGGGAGAGAUGCUGAAAGACUAGUCCCUGGUUUGACUGAAGGAAAGGGGCGAUCAGGCUGCCCAACUUUACCUCCCCCUGAAUCUUCACACUUCCCACAAAUAUUGGGGAAGAUUUGGGCAAAAAUACAACUGGGGUCAAGGAUCCAUUAUCCCUGCUAAUGACUAGGUUGAGGGAGAGGAAAAAGGUGUUCUGGUCUGCUUAGGCCUAACUCUGGAUGUCUGGAACUGUUUCUUGACUUUGUUGUUUUUGUUCAGCUUACCUGCAUGAGUCUAUGCACCAGAGUUCUGUCUUGUUCUCAUUUACACUGUUUGGAAAUUUCAGAUUCUUAAAGACAAACUGACAGAUUGCAGUGCACCAGCGGUUGUGAAUCAGUGAUUGCCUCUGAUCACAGGCUCUUUUUUUUUUUUUGGUUUGGCCUCCAUAGUGGCCUUUCCCCCCCCUUUUUGAUUGAAUUGCUUGCUAACACUUGCUACUUAGGUGAUUUCAUUUAAAAAUCUAGGCCUUAGGGUUUGUUUAAAAAAUUGGAAGGCUAAGAAAUACAAGACUUCUUUAUGAGAACAAAUACCCAGAUUUCAUAGCUGCUGCCCUUCUACCUGGACACACUCUAGUUUGCUCCAGUCCCCAUCUGGCCCACGUCUCUCAAUUGCUUUCAGGCAGCUGAAUUUGUUAUCCCUACUUUGUAUCAUCAGCUGUGAUAAUGGGACAUGCUUGCAAGUAGACACUGUCCUCCAAUGUGAGGGACCUAGCACAUGCUAGGUCAGCAUGGCAAGUGACUCUUCUCUCUGCCAUGCUUCUGGUUAGCUGGGCAGCUGCUUUGCCAUGGUGGGGUAAGGGUGAGGGUAGGUGUCUAAGAGUGACAGGAAUGAAUAGUCCUGACUCCCCGGAGACUAUCCAGGUAUCACAGCUGGGCCUAUUCUCAAGCUCCUGGGAAGAGAAUGGGAAGAAAGAUCCUGCAACAGGAAUUAGGAGGAAGCCCCAACUUUUUCUUGAUUCCCCCACACCUUAGGCCCAGCCCUCCCUUGAGUCCCAUGCACCAUCUUAAACAUGUCAAGCCAGAAAAGCUGCAUUUUCCCUUCUUUUCUCCCUCUCUCCUUUUUUCUUUGCAACACGUAUUUACAGAGUGCCUUCCAUGUGCCAAGGAGCAGUGCUAAGUGCUGGGGAUAGAGUGGUGAAUUAGAGAAGUACCUUGUUGUAAUAGAGCUUAGAUUUUAGUGGGGCAAUUAGAUACUGAAAAGGGACACACACAGGACAGCUGAAGAUAGCGUUACAUUCUACAAAACAAACAAUAACACACCGUGUACUGGUUGGGAUAGCGUCCUCCCCAGAUUCAAGUCCUUCCCAGAACCUCAGGGUGUGAUCUGAUUUAAAAACACGGCCAUUGCAGAUGCUGAAGUUUCAUCUCAUGCUUGAGUGAGGUGGACUCUUAAUCCAAUAUGACUAGUGUCCUUCUAAGAAGAGAAAAGAUACAGAGACUGUGACCCAAGGGAGAAGACAGCCACCUGAAGACAGAGGCAAAGAUUGGAGUGAUGCGGCUAUAAUCCAAAGAAUGCAAGGGGUUGCUGGCAGCCACCGGAAGCUGACAGGGGGUGGGAAAGGCUUCUCCCCUAGUGGCUUCAGAGGGACCAGAAUGCUGUCAAUACCUUGAUUGCAGAUUCUGGCCUCCAGAACUGCAAGAUAGUGAACCUCUGUUGUUUUAAGCCACCUAGUUUGUGGUAAUUUCUUAUAGCAGCUCUGGGAAACAAAUGCCCAAGAUGACGUGAGAGGAGGCAGGAGGGCCGCAGCUUUAGAUAAAUGGCACAAUCACAGGAGGCAUUUGUGAGGAGGUAACAAUUUAGUGGAAGUGGAACAAGUCACGAAAAACCUGGGGAAAGUGUAUUUUAGAGCUGCUAUGUCCAGUGCAGUAGCCACUAGCCAUAUGUGGCCAUGGAGCCCUUGAAAUGCAACUGGUCCAGACUGAGAUAUGCCAAACAUGUGAAAUACACACCAGAUUUCAAAGGCUUGGGAAGAACAGAAAUAAUGUAAAAUAUCUUUAUUUUAUUUUAUUUUAUUUUAUUUUACUUUUUUGAGACAGAAUCUUGCUCUGUUGCCCAGGCUGGAGUGCAGUGGUAUGAUCUUGGUUCACUGCAACAUCCACCUCCCGGGUUCAAGCAAUUCUCCUGCCUCAGUCUCUUGAGUAGAGUAGCUGGGACUACAGGCUCCUGCCACCAUGUCCAGCUAAUUUUUGUAUUUUUAGUAGUGAUGGGGUUUCACCAUGUUGGCCAAGCUGGUCUCGAACUCCUGACAUCAAGUGAUCCGUCCACCUCGGCUUCCCAAAGUGCUAGGAUUACAGGUGUGAGCCACUGUGCCUGGCCUCUUUUAAUUAAUUUUAAAAUAUUGAUUACACAUGGAGAUGAUUGCAUGAUGUGUUAGUCUACUUGCAUUGCUAUAAAGGAAUACCUGAGACUGAGUAAUUUAUCAAGAAAAGAGGUUUAUUUUGGCUCAUGGUUCUACAAACUGUAUAGAAAGCAUGGUGUCAACAUCUGCUUCUGGUGAGGGCUGCAGGAAGAUUACAAUCAUGGUGGAAGGCAAAGGGGGAGCAAGCACAUCAGAUGGUGAGAGAGGAGCAGUAAAGUGAGGAAGUUCCAGGCUCUUGUUUUUCUUUUUUGUUUGUUUGUUUGUUUGAGAUGGAGUUUCACUCUUGUUGCCCAGGCUGGGGUGCAAUGGCACGAUUUCGGCUCACUGCAACCUCUGCCUCCUGGGUUCAAGCAAUUCUCCUGCCUCAGCCUCCCAAGUAGCUGGGAUUACAGGUGCCUGCCACCAUGCCUGGCUUUUUGUAUUUUUAGUAGAGACAGGGUUUUACCAUGUUGACAGGGCUGGUCUCAAACUCCUGACCUCAGGUGAUACGCCCACCUCGGCCUCCCAAAGUGUUGAGAUUACAGGCAUGAGCCACUGUGCCUGGCCUCUGGCUCUUUUAAACAACCAGAUCUCGUGUGAACUCAUAGAGUGAGAACUCAUUCAUUACCACAAGGAUGGCACCAAGCCAUUCAUGAGGGAUCCACCCCUAUGACCCAAACACCUUCCACCAGGCCCCACUUCUGAUAUUGGGGAUUACAUUUCAACAUGAGAUUUGGUGGGGACAAACAUCCAAACAAUAUUAAAUGAGUCAUCUAUUGAAUGUCACUCUUUGGGGUGGACAAGGGAAGAGGAUGUGAAGAGGAACAAGACAUGGGUCCCAGCCUCAAGGAGAGGGGCCAUCCGGAUAUAUUGGGCUAAACAAAGUAUGCUAUUAACAUUUAUUUUACUUUUUACUUUUCUAAAUGUGGGAACUAGAAGAUUUUGGCUAAUGAAAUAUGAGCAAAUUUUUACAUUUAUGGCUCCUAUUAUAUUUCUACUGCAUUAUAUUAUUCUAAACAGAAGAUACAGCAAGUGCAAAGGCCCUGUGGUAGGGACCGAGCUUCCUGUGUUUGGUGGUUCUGUACUCAGUCUGCAUGUUGAUACUUACUUGCUAAUGUCACUAGACCUGGAGAGGUGAUGUGGGAAGCCCUGUUGAACUUACAAGGGGGAGUCUAUGAGUCUUUGUCCUUUCUUCUCAAGCAGAGAGCAAGGUCAUGAAAUUCAGCCCUUCAGACUGAUGCCUCCUUCUUACUUGCAAAUCUCACCUGCUCCUUUAGACCUCAGAUGGAGAAAGAAGACAGCCCCAAACUUCCUGCUUAGUAUGUCGAUUUAACCAUCUCCCUAAGCUUGUCAGUGUGAAGGACAUGGAGCUAGGACUAACUCCAGAAGUCUCCUUGUGUGCUGAUGGCUGGCACCAAGGCCAUGGUAUUACAGUAUAGAGCAGAGACUCCCCAAACCCACAGCUUGCAAAGUGAACUAGAAGGACCAGGUUAGUUCAUUUAUUAAGCUAGAAUUUUGUUCUUCUAAGACAGAGUUUACAAAAGGGCAUCUUGGGGCUAACUCCCACAUGUUUUGAUCAUUUUGCGUGGUUUCACAAUUCUUUUUAGGUGUAAUUGAAUUGCUGCAUCAGUCAGGUUGGGCUGGGCUUUGCUGCAGUAACAAAUAAGCCUCGUAUCUUCAUGGCUGGUAGUCACCCACUCUAUAUGUUGUUUGCUAUGACAUUACUCCAUGCCUUCUGCACUUCAGGAUCCUGUCUGACAGAAUAGCUUCUAUCUGGAGUGUUGCUGAAUGCCAUGACCAAGAGCAAUAGGGCACGGUGUACCACAGACUGGCUCUUGAAAUUUCUGUUUGGCAGCAACCCAUGCUACUUCUGCUGAUAUUUCAUUGGCCAAAGGAAUCUUGUAACCAUGCUUAAAGUCAAGAGGGCAGGGAUGCAUAUGCCCCCUGCAGGGAGGGGCACUCUAUGGGUCACCUCCUGUGCAUCCCUUCAAAUCCUUUUAGGCCCACCUUCUAUUCCAGCCACUGUUUCAACAACCCUUGAGCAGGGCUAGCCUGACAGUACCCACUACAUACCUCUUACUUUUCUGAUGCAGUGCCCUGGGUACCAGCAGGAACCUGUGAGCACUCACACACAUGCCACCUGCAAGUGCAGAGGAACUUUGCAAGAUAGGCCAAAGAGGGCUAUCUUUGGCCAAAGGGGAGGGCAUGGAUGAAUAACUGUCCCCCUCCGUUCUCAGGGCAGGCAGUUAGUUCUGAGAUGCUAGCACCUAGAGCAGCACUCACUCCAAUUACCCGUCCUUACCCAUACUUACCCAUCCUUACAUGGCUUACCUCUCAUCCCUGUCUCACUCCCUGGGCCUGCACUUACUCCUAGGGAUCAUUUCCCCAGUAAACGACCUGCAUGUAAGCCUUUGCCUGGGGACCUACUACAGAGGGAAACCAAGCUGAGACAGACAGGAAAUUGGUGGACAGUAACACAAUCUAUCACUAUUGCCCAUACUGCAAAGUUAGAAGGUUUAAUAUAAAAUUUCAGUGGUAAGCUUUUCUUGAUAAAUCAGAUCUGGCAGCACAUAACUGAAAUUCUGGCAAGUCCACAAGAGGCUAGACUUGAAUAGGGGCAGUGGCUUCCUUGAGAUGGGAUCCAAGCUCUUUCUUGAUAACAUUUGCUAUCUGAGAAGGAAAGUCUUCACUUUUUCAUGCUGUCUACCUGGCUCCAGGAGUCUUUUGGGUUUUUUUGUUGUUGUUGUUUAUUUGUUUUAAAUCUUUGUUAUAGGAACUGUUGCUUGAGCUAGAUAUCUAUGAAUCCUUGGAAAUUUUUUUUUUUUAAUUAUAUGGAGAAUUUUCUCAUUUUGGGGGGGUUUUAUUUACUUAUUUUGUUUCUCUUUGUCUGUUUUAUAACAAAAGGAUCAAUUAAAAAAGAAAAAAAAACAACUUAGACUGGCAGUGCCAGGCUGGCAGGGACAGCCUGUCUGGUCACCACUGUAUUCUCAGUGGUAUAUAGUAGGUGCAUAAAGAAUCUUUGCUGAAUGGAUGACAAGAUGAGUGACUGAGGUAGCCUGUUCCCAGUAUGAUCCUGAGCUCCUGACUCUCAUGUCCUUGUAGCGCCUACUCUCUUUGAGUACGGGCUAAACUUAUUGUUUGCCUCUAAUUUAGCAAUAGGAUGCCACUUCUGAGAUUAGGUUAUAAAAAAGACUAUGGCUUCUGUCUUGUCCCUCUCUUACUCUCUCUCUAACAUCCACAGCUGUGAUGCCACGAGAAUACUCAGAUAGCACACGGACAGGCCCACAUGGCAAUGAAUUGCAACUUGCCAGCAACCAUGUGGGUUAGCUUGAAGUGAAUUCUCUAGUCCUGUGUCUUCAGGUGACUGUAGCCCUGGCUGACCAUGUGACUGAACCUGAGGAGAAGCUGAGCCAAAGGCACACAGAUAAGCUGCACCUGGAUUCCUGACUACAGAAACUGUGAAGUAAUAAAUGUUUGCUGUUCAAAGCCAAGGGUUGGCAAAAUAUAUUCCACUUGUUUCUGUAAAUAAAGUUUUACUGGAACACGGUAAUGUUCACUAAUGUGCCUAUUGUUAUGGCUGCUUUCAUACUUCAACAGUAGUAGCUAUUGAGUAGUUGCAGCAAAAGACUAUAUGUCCACAGGACUAAAAUAUUU